rnacentral:rRNA from 1 species
GACGAACGCUGGCGGCGUGCCUAAUACAUGCAAGUCGAACGCAGUGGGGACGGGUGAGUAACACGUGGGUAACCUCCCAUCAGAGGGGAUAACACUUGGUAACAGGUGCUAAACCGAUAAUGCAGGAUGGACCCGCGGUGCAUUAGUUCGUUGGUGAGGGAACGGCUCACCAAGGCCACGGUGCAGAGCCGACCUGAGAGGGUGACCGGCCAUACAGGGACUGUGACACGGCCCAGCCCCCUACGGUAGGCAGCAGUAGGGAAGCUUCGACAAUGGCCGAAAUUCUGCCCGAGCAACGCCGCGUGAGUGAGUAAGGUUUUCGGAUCGUAAAGCUCUGUUGUUGGAGAAGCGGUAUCUAACCAGAAAGCCACGGCUAACUACGUGCCAGCAGCCGCGGUAAUAC